rnacentral:rRNA from 1 species
UACGUAGGGUGCGAGCGUUGUCCGGAAUUAUUGGGCGUAAAGGGCUCGUAGGCGGUUUGUCGCGUCGGGAGUGAAAAUCCAGGGCUUAACUCUGGACUGGCUUCCGAUACGGGCAGACUAGAGGUAUGCAGGGGAGAACGGAAUUCCUGGUGUAGCGGUGAAAUGCGCAGAUAUCAGGAGGAACACCGGUGGCGAAGGCGGUUCUCUGGGCAUUACCUGACGCUGAGGAGCGAAAGUGUGGGGAGCAAACAGG